rnacentral:lncRNA from 1 species
CCCGGGGCAGCGCGGACGGAGGGAGUGAGAAGUGCCGGAGCGGUGCGCGGGUCCGGGCGCGGGGCGCGGGAGCCGGAGCCGGAGCCGCGCCAGCCGGGGCCGCCGGCGCGAUGCCGCUCGCCCAGCUGGGGAGCCCUGGCCGCUCGCUGAGCUGCUUCCCUGGAUGCCGAGGCCUCCACAGAUGUCUCCUGGACGGAGAGAGACUCGGCCUCCUGUACCCAGAAGG